CCUACGGGUGGCAGCAGUGAGGAAUAUUGGUCAAUGGGCGCGAGCCUGAACCAGCCAAGUAGCGUGAAGGAUGACUGCCCUAUGGGUUGUAAACUUCUUUUAUAAGGGAAUAAAGUGAGGCACGUGUGCCUCUUUGUAUGUAUUUUAUGAAUAAGGAUCGGCUAACUCCGUGCCAGCAGCCGCGGUAAUACGGAGGAUCCGAGCGUUAUCCGGAUUUAUUGGGUUUAAAGGGUGCGUAGGUGGGUUGUUAAGUCAGUUGUGAAAGUUUGCGGCUCAACCGUAAAAUUGCAGUUGAUACUGGCAGCCUUGAGUACAGUUGAGGUAGGCGGAAUUCGUGGUGUAGCGGUGAAAUGCUUAGAUAUCACGAAGAACUCCGAUUGCGAAGGCAGCCUACUAAACUGUCACUGACGUUGAUGCUCGAAAGUGUGGGUAUCAAACAGGAUUAGAUACCCUAGUAGUC
rnacentral:rRNA from 1 species